rnacentral:rRNA from 1 species
AACGACUCUCGGCAACGGAUAUCUCGGCUCACGCAUCGAUGAAGAACGUAGCAAAAUGCGAUACUUGGUGUGAAUUGCAGAAUCCCGUGAACCAUCGAGUUUUUGAACGCAAGUUGCGCCCGAAGCCUUUCGGUUGAGGGCACGUCUGCCUGGGCGUCACAC